UGCAUCCCUCUGCAAGAUAUCUCACUAUUUUUGACUUUUCUGAGCCUGUCAAGUCCUUCUUUUGACCCAUUUUGCCAAAGGAAAGGAAGUUGCCUAAUAAUUAUGCACACCUGAUAUAGGGUGUUGAUGUCAUUAGACCACACCCCUUCUCAUUACAGAGAUGCACAUCACCUAAUAUGCUUAAUUGGUAGUAGGCUUUCGAGCCUAUACAGCUUGGAGUAAGACAACAUGCAUAAAGAGGAUGGUGUGGUCAAAAUACUCAUUUGCCUAAUAAUUCUGCACUCCCUGUAUGUAAGGAGAUUGAGGAAAUGUUAUAAAUAGGGGUUACAUUCGGAUAGCCCAUGGGCUUCCCCAGUAGUACUAGUGCCGAAGCAGGAUGGAACUACCCUUUUCUGCGUAGAUUAUCGAAGGCUCAAUGAUAAAACAGUAUCUAAUGCCUACCCGAUGCCCCGGAUAGACAAGCUCUUAGACAAGAUGGCCAGGGGCCAGUACCUCACCACGAUAGAUCUUUGUAAAGGGUACUGGCAAAUUCCUUUAGCCGAGUACGCCAUCCCUAAGUCGGUAUUUGUCACCCUGUUUGGCCUGCACUAGUUUAAGGUCAUGCCCUUCGGGAUGAAAAAUGCUCCGGCUACCUUCCAGAGGAUGGUGGACCGGCUAUUAGAUGGGUUUCAGGAAUACGCAUGCGCAUAUCUAGACGACAUAGCGAUCUUUAGCUAUUCCUGGACCGACCAUUUGAGCCAUGUAGUACUAGAUCGCAUUAGAGAGGCAGUGCUAACCCUUAAACCCAGUAAGUGCCAUAUAGGGAUGGCCGAAGUUCAGUAUUUAGGACACCGGGUAGGAAGCGGCCAGCAAAAGCCAGAACCUGCCAAAAUAGAGGCCGCAGCCAAAUGGCCAACACCCCGUACCAAAACCCAGGUUCUUAGGUACCGCAGGGUACUAUUGAAAUUUUGUGCCAGAUUACAGCACCGUGGCGAAACCCCUCACCGAUUUAACCCGCGAAAGCCUCCCUGAGUUAGUAGUAUGGGCCCCAGAGUGUGAAUGGGCAUUCCAACAACUAAAAACUGCUCUUGUUAACGAACCUGUACUUGCUGCUCCUGAUCCAACUAAACGCUUUCUCGUCCAUACAGACGCUUCUAUGUUUGGAUUGGGAGCAGUACAGAGCCAAGUUGGAGCAGAUGGUGGCGGGCAUCCCGUAGCUUACUUAAGCAGAAAACUUUUGCCCAGGGAAGUAAGCUAUGCCGCCAUCGAAAAUGAAUGCCUGGCCGUGGUGUGGGCCCUCAAGAAGCUGGGGGAGCAUUGUAGGAAACCUAGCCAAUUACUGAGUGUAAUUGUAUGUUUUCUGCUAUUUACCGUAUUGUCUGUUUCCCCGAUUAAAAGAUCCACGUAUGAAGCAUUCAUGUGUUAUAGCACACGAAUACCGCUAGCAUUCAGCUUGGUUAUCCACGAACAGUGAAUCUCCGCAAUGUUCGUGAAACAAGCAAAGUACCAAAUGGGAGACCACCCCCAGCAGGUCGUGUGUCUCUAAUUAGGUACUUUGCAACAUUGUAUCCGUGCCCAAUUAAUGUAUGUUGCGGGUGGCCGCCGUUCGUGUACCGAACACGUGGCGGCGGCCAUCUUUGUUCUCGGAGACCCAGCGGGGUUUUGUCGUCGAGUGCCUGGAACUAUAUUCGGCUACUCGGCAACAUAAGCCCCGCUGAACUUCCAAGCCGUUCGGGAGUUUUAUUCUUUCGGGAAUCUCAUUCCCAACUGUUUUUAUCCAAGUGGUCCUGAUCAUGUAAAAUGAACGGUGUUCGGUUAUUUGUGCUGGGAUCUGAGCGCAAGUUUCCUCAAUAAUGCCCUCAGGUCCCAGCUACGUAAUAAGGGGUUUAUUAGCUGCAUAGCAGGAAUAUUAUGUCAGCUAUAGAUUUUUUGUAUAAACUGUAUUUUUCUGUACCAAGAGAUAAUCCCAUUAACAAUGCAUUCUGUGGUAAUUAUCUCUCUGGUACAGCAGUGUAUGAUGGGUAAUCAGCCUGUAAGCUCAGUCCCCCAUGUAGUCCACUACUGGACAACCCCUGUAAUGUGACUUGGGAAACCCCUUACAUUUGUAACCGCAUAAAUACUGUGACCUGUGAUUAAAACCUCAGUUGACCUCUAAGCUAUGUGUCGUCUAGUUCUUGGGAGAAGGGGAUUAUAAAUACGCUACCUGCAUUUUGCCUACUUUUUACCUGCUUCACUCUGUCUACCAAUGGAGAUACCGUGGAUAAUACUACUACUCCGCUACACGCAGCCACCUCUUGUUCAGUACAAAUACAAAAAAAACAAGUCCAAUGCUCAAACUCCCAUUACUCCGGAAGCGGCAGCAACGACUAUAGUACACAUCAGCCCCAAUACAUACAGUAAAAACCAAAGAAAAAAGUUACCUGCGCUCUUUCCAAAUCUCUAUGUAUGUUAAAACAAAUGGAGGUUAUUUAGUUUCUCCAAUGGCCAUGAGAGAGUUUAUCCCACCUACCACGUCAAAGCAAACCUCUCAGGUGAGUCCUACACUAAUUUUUUACCCUGCUUCCUUGAGUUUCUGGCAAAGAUAUCUCUGAGACAAUAAGGGGUAUGGAAACUCUUGUUCAGUAGCCUGGGAGAAAUUCUGAAGGGUAGGAAAGGCAUGAUCCAGGUGUGGUUGAGAAAGAAAGGGGCAAGGUGCUGAGAAUUCUUUGUUGUGUUGGAUUUUGAAUGCAGUGGUGUGUUUGUCUGCAGUGUUGGUGUGUUUCUGUGGAUGGUAAUGUGCAUGUGUGCGGGUAAAUGUGAAUACGCAUGUGCAUUCAAACACCAACACAUAGACAGAUCUGCAAACACUGAGGCAUGCAGAUGUAUAAACACGAAUGCCCACACAUAGAUACAUUCACCUUGACUCAGAAUCCAGCUCCCAUGGGCCGCAGUAAGCCGCCCUGCCUCCUCCUCCUAUUUUGUGGCGUGAACUUCCAUUUCGUAAACUUUCAGAAACCGUGCCAGUGUGGCCAGGAAGGGCCCCAUGGUGUCUAGAAGAGUGACAAAUGUCACUGACCCACUGUGGCCCUAGUUACACUAUCAAUAGUUCCAUGUCUGCUGCUCUAACUAAUAGGCAAACAAAAAAUUAUAUAUAUUUUAAAAUUACCUUUUACCCAUUUGAUUUAUAUAAGGG